rnacentral:rRNA from 1 species
UCGAACGAUGAACCGGUUUCGGCCGGGGAUUAGUGGCGAACGGGUGAGUAACACGUGGGCAAUCUGCCCUGCACUCUGGGAUAAGCCCGGGAAACUGGGUCUAAUACCGGAUACGACACUCCGAGGCAUCUUGGGGUGUGGAAAGUUCCGGCGGUGCAGGAUGAGCCCGCGGCCUAUCAGCUUGUUGGUGGGGUAAUGGCCUACCAAGGCGACGACGGGUAGCCGGCCUGAGAGGGUGACCGGCCACACUGGGACUGAGACACGGCCCAGACUCCUACGGGAGGCAGCAGUGGGGAAUAUUGCACAAUGGGCGAAAGCCUGAUGCAGCGACGCCGCGUGAGGGAUGACGGCCUUCGGGUUGUAAACCUCUUUCAGCAGGGAAGAAGCGAAAGUGACGGUACCUGCAGAAGAAGCACCGGCUAACUACGUGCCAGCAGCCGCGGUAAUACGUAGGGUGCGAGCGUUGUCCGGAAUUAUUGGGCGUAAAGAGCUCGUAGGCGGUUUGUCGCGUCGAUUGUGAAAGCCCGGGGCUUAACCCUGGGUCUGCAGUCGAUACGGGCAGGCUAGAGUU